AUAAUGCUUGUGGUUACAUCAUCAUUGCUGGUUUCCAGGUAGUGACUAGCAGAUACUGGAGAGAGACAGGCCAUCUGCUCUUCCUGUGCGCCUCAGCUCCUCCCUCAUACCCACAUCCUCUCGCCUGGUCUUCUAGAAGCAGCCCCUAUGCAGACAGACCAGCAGGACUGAAAGCUGGACAGACUCGAGCCGGAGAGCCAGGUGGAACAACCUGGCCAGAAAGAGUCUGGCCGCAAAGAGUCUGGCCACAGCCCCACUUUCCUCAUCUCUAAAAUGUCCACAUGGCUGCCUGCCCUGCCCGGCUCAAGGGAAUGUUGCAAGGCUCUCAUGGAAACCAUGCUUGUGAGGGUUUUGAGGACUAUCAUAGCCCGUCCCAAGGUCAGAGGACAGUAGAAAACAAAAAACUUGCUUUCAGAGGGUGCUUUCACCAGUCAGCAGCCUCUGCCCCGGGCAAAGCCAGACAACUAAAACGGAAUGAAUCCGCAGAGUAGGGUGGGGAUGAAAUUCUCCACCUCCAACCCAGAAAGGAAACGCCAAUGCUCAUGUUUCCCCUUAGAGAAACAGGCAAUGUUUGAACAGGAACAACGACGCCAGAGGGUCAAUCCACACACAGAACACUCCAUCUCCAUGCCGAUGGGGGACUGACUGUCCUGCUGCUGAACUGCACCCCUGGGGCUCUCCAGGACACUCCACUGGUGGCCACACUCAGGAAAAUAAAGAAAAACCUUCAAAAGGACCCUUCUGGCCAUUCAGAGAAUGCACAGGCCUGCUAGCUCCUGCUUGCCUGCUCAGAGCUGCCUCCACUGGGGCAGGAAUCUGCAGCCAAGAAAAUCCCUGACAACCCCAGGGACAGAAGGGUCAGUCUGGGGGACCAUCGACCAACCCAGCAACCCAGAUUAGACUGCUCCACCAGGAACUCUGUGUCCAGAGAGCAGGAUCUGCCACAAGCAAAACUAGGCCUCAUUUACUAUUCCACAAUAGCAACUAGAAAGCAUGUGACCCAGAAAACCUUCAAAGAAGGCCAGAAAUUCAUUAAAUCUGAAAAGAAGGGAAGAAGGGCGGGGGAGAGGAAAACACUGCUUAGCAAAGCCAACUGAAUCCCUCUUCCAUACAUCACAGAUGCAGGACCAGUCUCAGCAUUCAAGAGGAAGAGAAAAAUGAAAACAAAAACCAAUCUGGAGUUGAAUGUCAGCCUUCCCCUCACUGGUUCUGGGUCCUUUGGAAGGCCAUAUUGUCCCCGGACCUCUCUUGCUUCAGUGGCCUUCCUGCCAGGAUUGCCAUAAGGAUUAAAUGGACUCAUAUAUGUGUUGUACCUAUACAGUACCUGCAACACAGUAAAUAUCCAAUAAAUGUUGGUUUCUUGCUACAAGAAAUUGUAAAAUAUGGGCACAAAUUCCUCCUACUUUGUUAAGCACAUCCCUUGGCAAUGACUUAGCUGCUACUCCCAUCAAGAGUUGUGGUCUAUGUCCCUACCCCUUGAAUCUGGGCUAGCCUGGGACUUGCCUCAACCAGUAGAAUUUAACAAAAGUUACAGUGUGUGACUUCCAAGGCUAGCCCUUGCCG
rnacentral:lncRNA from 10 species